CAGCAAAACAACACAAUGCAUCAAAUACACAUCUGUUCCUAAAUCACAAACCCAUCAUAGAUGGGCAAAACAUCUCUUGAUAAAUAAAGAUACAUGUUGAACUCCACUCCACUCGUCUCAGUCGGAUUUCACAGGCUCGUCCUCCUCCUCCCACACCAAGUUGAUGCAGCCAACGAACCAACAAAGCAUUGGCACCGAUUCGGCAGUUCACAUCAAGCAUUACCACUACUACUUGCAGAUAACCACAUCAAGCAUUACCACUACUUGCAGUUCACAUCAAGAUUCAGAGUCGACAGUGAAUCACUAAACCAACGGUAACCUGCUACUAGAUACAGGGGACACAAUCUAAGAGGAGGUGAACUUGGUGAUGGCUUUGGUGCCCUCGGAGACGUCAUGCUUGGCGAGCUCGCCGGGGAAGAUGAGGCGGCAACCAUGGCCGGGCGGAUUGAAGAACCCUAGACGACGAGGGGAAAGGAGGGGAGGCGAGGCGAGGGCUUACCACCGAGGAGAAGGCCAGUAUGGCGGAGGAGGUACGCCGGCAUAGAGAUGUCGUUCGACGGCGUGUUGUGGAGGAAUCGAGCGGCGGCGCGGUGAGUAGGCGGCGGCG
rnacentral:rRNA from 1 species